rnacentral:lncRNA from 1 species
GUGGGGAAUGAGAGCCUCUGCAUCCCCAGGCUAGAGAACGGUCAUGUUUAAAGUGACGGAGGGAGGGAUGAGGGGGUGGGGAAUGAGAGCCUCUGCAUCCCCAGGCUAGAGAACGGUCAUGUUUAAAGUGAGGGAGGGAGGGAUGAGGGGGUGGGGAAUGAGAGCCUCUGCAUCCCCAGGCUAGAGAACUGGCAUGUUUAAAGUGAGGGAGGGAGGGAUGAGGGGGGUGGGGAAUGAGAGCCUCUGCACCACCAGGAUAGAGAACUGGCAUGUUGAAAGUGAGGGAGGGAGGGAUGAGGGGGGUGGGGAACGCGAGCCUCUGCACCCCAGGAUAGACCCUAACCCUAGACUGAGCUGUAGAACUCUGCAUUUUUCAUAUUGCACCCUAACCAUAAGCCCUAACCUUGACUCCCAACCAACAACUCAACCUCUAAUCUUAACCAACACCUCAACCCCUAACCCCAACCAACACCUCAAUCCCUAACCCCAACCAACACCUCAACCCCUAACCCCAACCAACACCUCAACCCUUAAUCUUAACCAACACCUCAAGCCCUAACCCCAACCAACACCUCAACCCCUAACCUUAACCAACACCUCAACCCCUAACCUUAACCAACACCUCAACCCCUAACCUUAACCAACACCUCAACCCCUAACCCCAACCAACACCUCAAGCCUUAACCUUAACCAACACCUCAAGCCCUAACCUUAACCAACACCUCAACCCUUAAUCUUAACCAACACCUCAAGCCCUAACCCCAACCAACACCUCAACCCCUAACCUUAACCAACACCUCAACCCCUAACCUUAACCAACACCUCAACCCCUAACCUUAACCAACACCUCAACCCCUAACCCCAACCAACACCUCAAGCCCUAACCUUAACCAACACUUCAACCUUUAACCUUAACCUUAACCAACACCUCAACCCUUAACCUUAACCAACACCUCAAGCCCUAACCUUAACCAACACCUCAACCCUUAACCUUAACCAACACCUCAAGCCCUAACCUUAACCAACACCUCAACCCUUAAUCUUAACCAACACCUCAAGUCCUAACCCUAACCAACACCUCAAACCCUAACCUUAACCAACACCUCAACCCCUAACCUUAACCAACACCUCAAGCCCUAACCCUAACCAACACCUCAAGCCCUAACCCCUAACCAACACCUCAAGCCCUAACCCCUAACCAACACCUCAAGCCCUAACCCCUAACCCCAACCAACACCUCAAGCCCUAACCUUAACCAACAGCUCAACCUCUAACCUUAACCAACAGCUCAACCCCUAACCCUAACCAACACCUCAAGCCCUAACCCUAACCAACACCUCAAGCCCUAACCCCUAACCCCAACCAACACCUCAAGCCCUAACCUUAACCAACAGCUCAACCUCUAACCUUAACCAACAGCUCAACCCCUAACCUUAACCAACACCUCAAGCCCUAACCCUAACCCUAACCAACACCUCAAGCCCUAUCCCCAGCCAAUAGCUGAAACAUUGACCCCUAGCUAACGACCCUACCGCUGUACGUGUCCAUUUCUCUACCCCACACACACGUAUGCACGCGCAGAUAAACACACGAGCCAUAGAAUAGUGUCUAUAGGAUGCUAAUCCAUUGUUUCCAAAUCAUAUUUGGAAUGGAAUGGAUUACAUACUGAGCCUGGAGAAUCAGACUAUUUAAUCCAUUGCAUGCCCCCCCCUCCCCCUCCCAACACACACAUACACACACAUUUGUUCAUUACAGUGCCCAGACCUGGCACCUGAUCCCCAAUUCAAUUACCUCAUCAAUCAGUCACUCAGGCAGGUUACGGUACCAAUACGGUACCAAGCAUACACUAACGACACUAAAGUUAUCUUCCUCAAAGUGUACAGUAUCUACAGAAGUCAACACUUCAGGGCAGGAAUGGGCACUUCACUAGGCCACUAUGCUGAAGUGCACACUAGGAAACACUAAGUUACAUAAUACACAAGAAUAGGACAAUGCAUUAUGAAUAGAUUAUUAUCAAUAUGAUGUGAUGUGAUACUGUUAUGACACGCUAUAGAGAUGUACACAACAGAGCAAUAUACAGGAGGGUUGUUGAUGCCCAGGUACACUUCACGCCAGAAGAUCACCUCACAGGACAGAGGGGGGUUAAAACAGUGUAAAGAAACCCCUGAACCCCUGACAACCUGGUUGAUAUGUUCCAUUUAUAGUUCAUUAACAUUGAGCUGUUCUUGUUGCACCUGAUCUGACCUCUUAGAUACUGAAUCUAAAACACAACAACGCUCCUCCCACACACACACCCUUAUAUACACACACACACACACACACCCUUAUACACACACACACACGCACACACACACACACACUCUUUAUACACACACACACACAGCCUUACACACACACACACACACACACACACACACACACACAAUAUAGUUUUGUUUUGUUUCUAAUCUGUAUAUAUGACCCUACUUUUCACUCUUUAGUAAUAAGGUACAAGCAAUGAUUUCCAGAAUGCAAUUCUCUGUGUCACCGGGCCAUGUUCCCGUGGGAAAUGCUGGUGAUUGACUGAGAACGUGUUGCACAUUCCUUAAGCUCAGGACUUAUGGGUAGUGUAGUUUUGUGGAUCUUGGUGUAAGGUAGUCUUGUUCCCCAGAAGCCAGGAACAUGAGGUUAGCUAGGUUAUAAGGUAAAGGAAGUGUAGCCUAAAUGUUCCCCUUGUAGAGUUUAACAUAGGGCAAGCCUGUCUAGGAGGGCCUCUUGGAAAAUGGCCCACUACAUGCUCUGUGCUCAGACAAGAUGUAUGGAUGACUUUAUCAUCUACAUGAUCAAUCAGUCAACAGAUCAAUCAUGUAUCUGUCUCCCUCCUCUAGUUAGUCUGGGGGUGGGUUAAAGUGCUGUUUAAAGAGAAACCUCCGAAUAAUAAUACCUAACCAUUCCCUUUACUUCACUCCCCCCUUUAGAAGCUAAAGCAUGUUUGUAUGGAUAUAUCAUGGGAUAUAUGGACGUCUCAUGUUUGUAUGGAUAUAUCAUGGGAUAUAUGGACGUGUCACGUUUGUGAAAUGGCUGCAAUUUGAGCCGACAGGAAAGGGCGGAGUCACAUAGUGUUUACUGAUCAGUGAUUGGGAGAACAUUGGAAGUGACCUCAUUGACUACCCUCUUGCAACCUAUCGGCUACUUUUUAGUUAGUUUUAACCCCAGUUUUAGAGCAUUUACUCUCUGUUGUCUGCUGUGUUGUGAAGGCACCAGAUGAACUAAGACCACUGGACCAAAACACACUGAGGCUGGAAUUUAACUUAGAUUGAAUUCCGCACAGAGGGUCCAAACACGACUGUUUCGUAUACAAGUGGUCAGGUUGUGUACAGGUCAGUGAGUCUGUGAGUGGGAGAGUGUGAGCAGGAUGAAGUUGUCCCUAUACUCUGAUCUAGGGUCAGUACUAUGUUAUGUCUUUCCCCCCUAAUGGUUAAAGUCAGGAUUUGGAGAGCAUAAGCUGAUCCUAGAUCUGUACCUAAGGGCAACUUCUACUCAGAGUGUGAGAGUAUGUAGCAUGUACAUAGAUGAUCUGUCAGUCUGUAUAUAGGCAGUGUACAGGUUUGAUACGGCAGCAGACUCAGUCAGGUAACCUUAUUUUGAAAACCAGAGCAAUAUUUCUGUAUUGAUAAUCGGGCCAAGGCUGUAGAGUUCCGGACAGAUUCAUCCCUUUUUCAGUGAUGUAAUAAAGUUAGGAGAGUAAAUGUUUUCUUUUUAGAUUUGAGAGGUUUGAUGGAGUAUAACGCCUUAGCCUCCCUAUCACUGUCUUACUGUGCUUUGGUGACACCUAGUGGUCACACAACAUCAUCACAGUUUAAGGGGAGUGGAGUUCGUGUGAUGUGACGCGAGUGUGUGAGCUUACGAAGAGGUUUGGUCUGUCCUCCCCUCAGCAGCCUCCACUGAUGGAGUCCUUGUUUGAUGUAAUUCUGCCUGCCAAUGUCACUGAACAGAAGGACAUGUGGAGGU